rnacentral:miRNA from 13 species
GAACACCUCAAUUAUUAGUAGU